GAUGAACGCUGGCGGCGUGCCUAAUACAUGCCAGUCGAGCGAACAGACGAGGAGCUUGCUCCUCUGACGUUAGCGGCGGACGGGUGAGUAACACGUGGAUAACCUACCUAUAAGACUGGGAUAACUUCGGGAAACCGGAGCUAAUACCGGAUAAUAUAUUGAACCGCAUGGUUCAAUAGUGAAAGACGGUUUUGCUGUCACUUAUAGAUGGAUCCGCGCCGCAUUAGCUAGUUGGUAAGGUAACGGCUUACCAAGGCAACGAUGCGUAGCCGACCUGAGAGGGUGAUCGGCCACACUGGAACUGAGACACGGUCCAGACUCCUGCGGGAGGCAGCAGUAGGGAAUCUUCCGCAAUGGGCGAAAGCCUGACGGAGCAACGCCGCGUGAGUGAUGAAGGUCUUCGGAUCGUAAAACUCUGUUAUUAGGGAAGAACAAAUGUGUAAGUAACUAUGCACGUCUUGACGGUACCUAAUCAGAAAGCCACGGCUAACUACGUG
rnacentral:rRNA from 1 species